AGCGAACGCUGGCGGCGUGCCUAACACAUGCAAGUCGAACGUGAAAUGGGGCAACCCAAAGUAAAGUGGCGCACGGGUGAGUAACGCGUAGGUAAUCUACCUUCUUGUCUGGAAUAACCUGCCGAAAGGCGGGCUAAUACUGGAUAGAGCGAGGAACACGUAAGGUGUUUUUCGGGAAAGGGGGCUCUUCAAAGAGCUCUCGCAGGAGGAUGAGCCUGCGUCUCAUUAGCUAGUUGGUGGGGUAAUGGCCCACCAAGGCUGUGAUGAGUAGCUGGUCUAAGAGGAUGAUCAGCCACACUGGAGCUGAAACACGGUCCAGACUCCUACGGGAGGCAACAGUGGGGAAUCUUGCGCAAUGGACGAAAGUCUGACGCAGCCACGCCGCGUGAGUGAAGAAGGCCUUCGGGUCGUAAAGCUCUGUCGGGCGGGACGAAAAGUCUUUGCACUAAUACUGCAGAGAUCUGACGGUACCGCCAAAGGAAGCACCGGCUAACUUCGUGCCAGCAGCCGCCGUAAAAC
rnacentral:rRNA from 1 species